rnacentral:rRNA from 1 species
UGGGGAAUAUUGGACAAUGGGCGCAAGCCUGAUCCAGCCAUGCCGCGUGAGUGACGAAGGCCUUAGGGUUGUAAAGCUCUUUUGGCGGGGACGAUAAUGACGGUACCCGCAGAAUAAGCUCCGGCUAACUUCGUGCCAGCAGCCGCGGUAAUACGAAGGGAGCUAGCGUUGUUCGGAAUCACUGGGCGUAAAGCGCACGUAGGCGGAUGUGUCAGUCAGGGGUGAAAUCCCGGGGCUCAACCUCGGAACUGCCUUUGAUACAGCACGUCUUGAGUCCGGAAGAGGUGGGUGGAAUUCCUAGUGUAGAGGUGAAAUUCGUAGAUAUUAGGAAGAACACCGGUGGCGAAGGCGGCCCACUGGUCCGGUACUGACGCUGAGGUGCGAAAGCGUGGGGAGCAAACA